CCGAAACUUUCUCGUGUAUCCGUUACUCACUUCAUUUUUAAGGCAGUUUUGUGUAAAUUUAUGUCAUUCAGUGUGAGUUGUACUUAUUUAUAGUAGAUAAGCUGGAAAGACCACCAUUAAUCACUGAAGAUACUCCCACUGAUUAUAAAGAACUUACGGUGAUUGUUUUUGAAAAUGAGGCGCUAUAAAAUAUUGCAAAGAUUUGAAACAAAUACAAAACACAUGUGCGAAACGAAAGAAAUGCUAAAGGAAAUGAGUGAAAAAAUCUCCAACAUGGAAACGUUAUCAAAUCUGACAACUGAAAAAGAAAAAUUAUGCCGCCAAAACCAUACCUAAACAAAUUUUGACGAAUUACAAGAUUAUGUUUGCAUAUUAGAACAAGCAGAUUUUUUUGGCACCACUGUUGGGCGACUUCAUUGCGAUACUGAUGAUUCUCUUUCUUUCCUCUGGAUGCAAGCUGAACUCUAGUUGAAGCAAAACGAUAUGAAAAUCGUACACAUAUAGUUAUAAACUUAAAGGUAGAGACCAGUGGUCAGCUAAUAUGAGGAAACACAUAUUGGUCACUCAUUUGUCAUAUGUACGAUGGUCUUAAAAUAUAUUAAGAUUUCAGUAAUUUCGGAAAUUGUAUGAACUCAACAACAGACGAUAGACAGACGGAAAUGAGAAACCGUAAUUUUGGUGCUUUUCAAAAAUUGUAACGAAUGUGACGGGCCAAAGGAAUAACGACUUAAAAGUAAGAAACAAGUAAAACAAUUUAAAUGAAAUUGUAGGUGCUAAAUGAACUGUUAAUAUCCUUUCAGGUCUGGUUAUGUGUGGUCGCUAAAUAAAUUCUUUUUAUUUGUAGAAAUCGUUGUACAUGCUUAUUCUUUUAGAGUGGUUGUGAAAAUUCUUUUUCUUUUAAUUAUCAAGUACAAAGUGUGGUAU